GUUAUUUUUGGUGAUGGUCAGUCUGGUCAACCACAAGGGAGACACAGAGGAGGCAAAGGAAAAAACAAGUUUCUUAUACUCAAGGUCCUAGAGGGACAGAGUCACUGCAUGCUGACAGGGAGUGAUGUGGAAAAGAGCACCAAGGAAAAAGGCUCAGCCAAGCAAGUGGGGAGCAGAGAGCGGGCAAACACCAGAAGCCAUAGGUUAAGACAUGAGGACUUCUACUGAAACUUCUCUAAAUAUGGAACCAAGACUUCAUCUGAGUUUGAGAUUAAGAGAAGAAAUUAUCACAGCUCCAUGAGGAAGAAAAAAUAAUCUGUGACUUCUGUACCUUCUUCAUGACCACCGGGCAAGACUGACUCUCUGACCAGUGCACAGGAGACUCAUCAAUAUCUAUCUAAGCCCUUUCUCUCUAACAGCUGCCAGAGUUUGGUCUUCUAUCAUCUCAGGCCAAGGAAGCGCAGUGGUUACACUCAUCUCCACUCCGGUCACCUGCUUUCCAUUUUAUGCGAGCAGGUCCUGCCUUACAAAAUAAACGUAUCUGCUGAGAAAUGCCAAUGAGGGAGACAGAAGAGAUCUUCAAAGGGAAAGGCAGAUUUUGUAAGUGGUUGUUGAUGGACCAAAUUCCAUGUUAUAAAUCUUCUCAGGGUGCAGUAGUUGAUAUAACUCCAUUGAGAUGGACCCUGAAAACAAAUAUGCACAAAAGGAAUUUUACAGAUAAAUCCGUGUUCCAUGCCUAGAAUAAAGUAAUACCAUUAUAAUCAUUAUCUGCUUUCAAUAUCCAACCCUGCCAUUUAGUUUCAGCUUCAGGUCCACCGGAUCCUUCAAAUAUUUCUUCAUACAAUCUCCUUUUGUCCCUCAGGACCUGUUGGAAAGAAAGGCGUCCAAUGCUAAUAAGGAAAAGAGAAGAGCCUUCCUCUCCAUGCAGGUUUAAGUCUACUGAAAGUGGAAAUUACUCUUUUAUUUAUAAAUACUGAUAGGACUCUUUUGGUAGCAGGGAACAUGGACCCACUUAUGCAACCUUAAGUAAAAACGGUAAUUUAUGGUAAAGGAAAAUGGAUAGCUGUCAGAAUUCUAAGCAGGAAGGUCAUAAACAAGCUGGAAUCAGAAAGUGGGAGGUUGUUGGGAUCCUUGGAACUACCUCGACCCUGCAAUCAGACAGACUCCUCUACCUGCCCUCUGUGUCCUUGGACAAACUGCUCAACCUCCCUAUGCGUCAGUUUCCUCAUCUGUAAAAUGGGAACAAUGAUAUCCAUCUUUUAAGAUUUUUGUGAGGAUUGAAUGAAUUAAACAAGUAAAGAGAUUGGAUCUAGGUCUGAAA